GUAUGUUAUUUUUGUAUUAUUGCAUAGAUGCUUACUUUCACAAUAGAAUUAAGGAUUUAGAAGUCAUAAGUUGCACAUCUACAUGCUCAAUGCAAAACCAUGUUAAUAUUGUAUAGUAAAAGAAAUUCAUUUUGCAUGUUUAUUUUUUGUUUAUGUCAAGUAAAAGAGGUUUAUGAAAAAGUAGAUAAUUGUGUUACAUGUAUUGAAAUCAUUUGCUACUUUGGACUGAGAUAUGAAUUAUAAAAUGAAGUAAGAAGGAAAAAUAAUAAAAAUAAAUAAAAAAAAUAUUCAAAUAUUGUUUAUAUAUUAUAAAAAACUUAUGGAGUAAAGAUUAUUUUAGUGCCAUUUGAAUUCAAUAAUAAUGUACAUUUUUUUUGAACAUAAGUCUUGUAAUAAUUAAAGAAUACUUAAAAAAGUCCACUAAAAUAAGUUUUGGAAAUGCAAAGAGGUUUUUUUUUAGAAUUAUUUUCCAAUUAGCUUAGAAGGUAUAUAUUGACUCAGAUAUAUAUAUA
rnacentral:lncRNA from 1 species